rnacentral:misc_RNA from 1 species
GUGAUAUACAACCCUGUGGGGAAGGACUUGGAGUUCGUGAAGGAGCUCUCGGGGAAAAUGGAGGCCCCGCCUUACAAUCUGAAAUUCUGCAUUCCCUGGAGAGACGAUCUUCCGGGACCCUCUCGUUAUGAAGUCUCUGCCCACAUGAUUGCUACACGGUGUCGAAGAACACUGGUUAUCUUGUCUCCAGACUUUUUAAAAAGUGCUGCAGCCGAUUUUCAGCUCAAAUUUGCCCACUGUUUGUCACCAGGUGCAAGGAGUAAAAAAGUGGUCCCCGUAUUUUCCGCUCCGUGUAAAAUGCCGGAUAUUCUUCGAGCAUUAUCUUUCGUUGAUUUCACAAACCCCGGAUUAAGAGACUGGAACUGGCCCCGCCUUAACGCUGUUUUACAGUGCCCCCUUAAUCCCGAUCCCCGGGAUUAUAUGAGUGAGGCAGAACUGGAGGAAUUAAAACUGAACGCUGGGGUGAUUACAACGAGAAUGUGGUACUCCACUGGUGUCCUAACAAUGAACUUCCCUGAAGAAUCCGAGGACAACACUCCAUAGAACAGUGAAGGGUGGCUAGUUCCAUUGUAACGUUAUUGCAUACCGUGGUGAUAUAUCAACUCUAUCUAUUGCAAUCUAUUCAAACAUAAACAUAUUCUAGUAACAAUGUUUCAAAAACAAAUAAAAAAAAUGUUUAUGUUC